AGUGGCAGACGGGUGAGUAAUGCAUAGGAAUCUACCUAGUAGUAUAGGAUAGCCACUAGAAAUGGUGGGUAAUACUGUAUAAUCCCUGCGGGGGAAAGAUUUAUCGCUACAUGAUGAGCCUAUGUUAGAUUAGCUAGUUGGUAGGGUAAAGGCCUACCAAGGCGAUGAUCUAUAGCUGGUCUGAGAGGAUGAUCAGCCACACUGGAACUGAGAUACGGUCCAGACUCCUACGGGAGGCAGCAGUGGGGAAUAUUGGACAAUGGGCGCAAGCCUGAUCCAGCUAUGCCGCGUGAGUGAGGAAGGCCUUAGGGUUGUAAAACUCUUUCAGUAGGGAAGAUAAUGACGGUACCUA
rnacentral:rRNA from 1 species